GCUUAGCUCAGCUGGUAGAGCAUCUGCCUUACAAGCAGAGGGUCAUAGGUUCGAGUCCUAU
rnacentral:tRNA from 1 species